UGAGGAAUAUUGGUCAAUGGGCGCAAGCCUGAACCAGCCAUCCCGCGUGCAGGAAGACGGCCCUAUGGGUUGUAAACUGCUUUUCCGGGGGGAGAAUUUUUCUGUCGUGACAGGAAUUGACGGUACCCUGGGAAUAAGCAUCGGCUAACUCCGUGCCAGCAGCCGCGGUAAUACGGGGGGGGCGAGCGUUGUUCGGAUUUACUGGGCGUAAAGGGCGCGUAGGCGGACCUCUAAGUCGGGUGUGAAAACUGUUGGCUUAACUGACAGCCUGCACUCGAUACUGGAGGCCUUGAGUACGGAAGAGGAGAGUGGAAUUCCAGGUGUAGCGGUGGAAUGCGUAGAUAUCUGGAAGAACACCAGUAGCAAAGGCGGCUCUCUGGUCCGAUACUGACGCUCAAGCGCGAAGGCUUGGGGAGCAAACA
rnacentral:rRNA from 1 species